rnacentral:tRNA from 2 species
UUUAGGGAGACCUACCCAUUCAGAUUCUGAAAGCACAGUGCAAAUAAGAACUGGAUUGGUCAUCCCAAGGUCGUUCGAGGUAUAGGUGUAGGCUUUCAAACUAUUAAAGGUUCGGUUAUGGGCUAUUAGCUCAGGUGGUUAGAGCGCACCCCUGAUAAGGGUGAGGUCCCUGGUUCGAGUCCAGGAUGGCCCACCUUAGCAAUUGCACGGGGGUUUAGCUCAGUUGGUAGAGCGCCUGCUUUGCAAGCAGGAUGUCAGCGGUUCGAGUCCGCUAACCUCCACUGGAGUUGAUAGAGCAAGAGAGAGGAAAAUUCAGCAACUUGUCUAGGUAUUGCUAGAGAGCCUGCUGGAUUCGUCCAGCCAGAACCAUGAAAACUGCAUAGCGAAAGAAGAUUUCUGUCAGGUAGUAGAGAUUUAUUUAACUUAGGUUAGAUGAAUCAUCACAGACACCAAUGAAUUUUGU